rnacentral:ncRNA from 3 species
UACAGAGACCUCAAGCGUUAUCCGGAAUCAUUGGGCGUAAAGCGUACCGAUAGGUGGUUAUGCAAGUCAGACGUGAAAUCUCCGAGCUCAACUCGGAAUCUGUCGUUUGAAACUGCACAACUAGAGGGGCAAAGAGGAAGCUGGAACGAACGGUGUAGUAGUGAAAUGCGUUGAUAUCGUUCGGAACACCAAUAGCGUAGGCAGGCUUCUGGGUGCCACCUGACACUGCUAGGACGAAAGCGUGGGGAGCGAAUGGG